GUAACUUCAAGAGCCAGUGUCUUUGAAAAGACCCUACAACAAGUUGCAGAUGCAGAGGACUUGAGGCCAUGUGCCACCUCAAGCCAGAGCGACAUUAGUCCAAGUGGCAGCCAGGAAGAAGCUGGCCAAGACAGAGCAUCAGAAUCAGACCAAGAGCUGCCAUCCCUGCUUGAUGAGCCUGUGGCUUCUGAGAUGCCUGCUGGAUACAUUAAAGAUCUUCAAGCAGUGGAGAUGAGGAUAAUG